CUCACCUCCCUGCCUGGCCUGGGCAGCCACGAGCAGCCCAAGCGUUUUGGAGACACCAGCAGGACCCGAGGCUUUUGGGCACUUCCCUGCAGAUUCACUGUUGCCUGGUAUGAGCUGGAGCUUCUCCCCCGGAAAAUAACCCACCUCCCCUAUCGCCCUCCUUUAUUUUGUAACCAGCCAGUGGGUUGGGCUGUGCUGGGGUGGGGUAGAAACCACGCUCAGCACCCCGCGAUUCCCCCUAGGAACACCGUAACUCCCUGCAGCGAUGUGCCUGGCACUGGCUGCUGCCUGCACAGGCGGGGCUGCAUCACCCCCGGAGCUCACCCAGCCCUUUUCUUCGCAUUUUAGGAAGCUCCUAAAGGUGUCCUCUCCCGACUUCUUGCCCAGAGACCAGCCCUUCACCAUGCAGUUUCCUGGCCCGCCCUCUCCACCCGGGUCUCCUGCCCUCCCUGGGCUCUCUCCGCCCGGAUCUCCUCCUGCCCGCUCCAGGCGCUCCGAUAUCAUCCCCUACACGCCGCCGCCGUCCCCCGGCCUCACGGGCCGCCUGCCCCCCAUCGUCAAACAGUACCAGGAGCGCGGCCAAAGGGAGCAGGCAGAGGGGUAUUCCCGCAGAUCCCCCAUGUACUGUGGGGGCCGGCACACCAGCAUCUGCCCAGUGCAGCCGAUGGAGCCCCUCCUCCCAGACCCCAGCAAGCCCGGCGUGUUUGACCUGGUGGGCAGGGAUGGAAUCGUCUACCGGGGCCGGCAGUGCAGGAGGACUCCUAUGGGGUCCUGGAUGGAAGGAGCAACCUAUUCCAAUCUGCAGUAAAGAGCUACAAGCAGCCAAGCACCUGUGCUUCCUGAGUGAAGUGGCCUUGGAUCAGGAUCUUUCCUUCUUGAACAAGGAGGGGCUGCUGGAGGAGCUGAUAACUCCAGGGUCUGUGUCAGCCCCGUGCUCCCUCUGACACCCCCUGGCCCCUGCCAGGGGACCCUUUGGCCCCAAAGGAGGUCUGGGGGGGCCGAGUGGUGCCGCAGAAGGAGGAUGUUCCUUUGCCUCCAGGGAGGCAGUGGGAAAGGGGGGGUCUCAGUGGGAAGAGCAGCAGCAGGACACGGUUUAAUGUCAAAAGCGAAUCCCACCCCAAGCCCGCUGGUUUGCUAUCGAUUAUCCCAUUGAGCAUCACCGGGCUGCUUUCUUUAUCUCCAAGCGAAGGAAGCCCCUUGUCCCUCUCCCCUUUGUCACCCCCUCCGUCCCUCUCCAGCGCUGCCAUCAACAGAAAGAGGAAGGCACGAGGAAGCCCCGCUGCUUCCCACCUCCAGACGCGAGGGGCAGCUGUAACCUGUCCUUGCCACCACCUGGGGGAACACGACCCGCCGCUCCUU
rnacentral:lncRNA from 1 species